rnacentral:rRNA from 1 species
AACGAACGCUGGCGGCAUGCCUAACACAUGCAAGUCGAACGAGACCUUCGGGUCUAGUGGCGCACGUGUGCGUAACGCGUGGGAACCUGCCCUUAGGUUCGGAAUACCUCCCCGAAAGGGGUGCUCAUACCGGUUAAUCUCUUCGGACCAAAGAUUUAUCGCCUUUGGAUGGGCCCGCGUUGGAUUCGCUAGUUGGUAGGGUAAAAGCCUACCAAGGCGACGAUCCAUAGCUGGUCUGAGAGGAGGAUCAGCCACACUGGAACUGAGACACGGCCCAGCAUGCGACGGAAGGGAGCAGAGGGGAAUAUUGGACAAGGGGCGAAAGCCUGAUAAAGCAAUGCCGGGGGAGUGAUGAAGGGCUUAGGGUUGUAAAGCUCUUUUAGCCGGGAUGAUAAUGACAGUAACGGGAGAAUAAGCACCGGCUAACUCCGUG